UAUUAACAUUAAAAUUUAGGUGCUUAAAAGUGCCUCUUAUUACUGCUACGUCAUCACCCCAAGUUGCACGAUAAAGACACUGCAUAUGCACUCACCUUGCUGUCGCUGUCCUGGCCAAUUCAUUUGGCAGGAGUGAGACACUGACUGCUGCAACUCGCCGACACUUUGACAUCUCAAGGUCCCGGCCAGGCCAGCAGAACGUGGUCCGUCUACCUUUGCACGGGGGUAGGUGUGGGUCCACUGACAUUACCAUGAAACCAGGAGAACAAAGCAAAACAAAACAAACAAAGGCUUCUGCUUUGCAAUGUUUGUUAAUAUAAAGCUGUGUUGACACACUUUUUAAUCUGUCAGCAGACCAACCCUGGAAGGUAGCCCAUUUUGUUGGUGUGUUGACUUGUUUUUGUUCACCGAGAUGGGAAUAUUCAUUUAUUGGAAGGGAUGCGUAUCGGGACAGCUCUGAAAAGGAAGCGGUAAUGCGGGGCCCUGCCGUGCACCAUCGCGGACAGGAGGGAGGAAGGAAGCAGUGGGGAGGUAGGCACCAUUGACCUCUCGUGGCCUGACCCGCUGAAGGUGGCAGUAUCUUGUGUUGACUUACGGUGUGGAAACUGUCCUCACCAUAUACCCCUGCAGGUAGAAGGGCACUCGAAAGAUCAUCCUGUUCUGUCCUGUGUACUCAGAACCUGUCCUGGUCAGUUUCUUGUCUCUACCUGAAGGCUGAUGGUCUUUAAGUUCCAAUUUCCCUCUCCUGGUGGACUGUGUCCAGACAGCUUUCGCUCACAGAGCAGACGUUCUCCGGGUGAUCACCACCUCACAUGUGCCUCCUCUGCUAGACUGUAAGCUCCAUGUGGGCAGGAGCUGUGCUUCCACAUCUAGGCUGUAGCAUCAUGCCUGGCGCAUAAAAGGUAUUCAGAAACAUGUUGUGCAAUUAGAUAAAAAGUUCACCUAUGUACUGACCAAGGAGUGUGUCAAGACUAGCAGAAAACUGCAAUGCACGGCAUGUUCUCUUUCUCCCAUCCCUCUGCUUUCCAAUCUGGGGACACUAGGGGUACUUGUGAGCAGCCUGGUCAUAGCUCUGGGAUACGUAGUUAGGAGUCUAGACACUUCCUCUAUUGGUCCAAGUUUUAAGAGUUGAUAUGAACAGGGUAAAGAGCUUAGGGCUAUGGCAUUCUCAAAGCUAUGAGUUCUUGGAAUGUGUAAGUAACGGGUAAUUGGCAACUUUUCCAGCCCAACAGACUUCUUCCCAUAUAAAGUAUAUUUCCACAGAGAGUGUUUUGUUGUUGUUGAUCAUGCCCGGGCAGUACUUAAAUCUCCACAGAAACCCCAGAGGAGGCCCUAAACCUUAUCUGUACCUGUUGUUCCCUUGACCUCCCACAUCUGGUUCUGUUCUAAAUUUCCACAAGUUUCCAAACGUCUGAGCAAGAGAUCAUGGCAGACAUUGUAGAUGUCUUGGCAAGUGUCUGGUUCUCCAUGGGUACUGAGUCCCUGACAGAGGUUUUCUAGAAAAAUGAUGUGCUCCUUAUCUAUUUGCUAAUUCCUUCCACAUAUCACAAGACUUUUCUGUAAAUUCCCAUCAGUCUUGACAAAGUUAUCUUGUAGACUUAUGUAGUGAUUUUGAUGGCUGCACAGAGCUGUUUGUCUUGUUCAGCACGAAAUUAAUAACACCACGAUGGCACCUACUUUAGCACCAAACUUCUUAAACUCUCCUAAUAUACUAAUCAGCAUGUCAGGGAAAUAUUUUUUUUCUGGAUAAAGACAAGCCUGGUGAAAUGGAUUAGACAUUCACACGGCAUUGCAUAAUUCAGCAUGCCAGGGCGGUGCAUACGAUUUGCAUUAAUAGCCAGCGCUGGAAGCUGCUGCUCAUAGGUUUCUCUCAUUAGGUCGAAUAUCGAAGAUUCCAGACUGUCAAUCAAUUACAGUAAUUUCCUUUUCCAUAUUUAUUCCAUCACUAUCAUUGACAGCUACCAUUAAGUGACAUUAAUACAAUACAAUAUCAUCUCGCAUUUCUACAGAGCGUCUCAGGGUGCCUAACGGUUCCACUCCAGCCAAGAAAUCACAUUACCAAGGACAAAGUACCCUCAUUCUCGAGGUGGAAAAUAGGCUGCCAACUCUUGGAACCAGUGGGAGUUGCCCAGAAUCUCUGGAGAUGCUCUUGACUUCCGGGCAAGGGGGUUUAUUUUUUUGUUGUCUGAAAAUACCCGAGGCUGGGUCUCUGGCGAAUGGGGCGGCUUAAUGGGUAGUGAUGACUUUCCAGGGACCCCACUCACCUACAUCCCCUGCCUCUUCUCACCCUUGACUUAGGACGUGUUUACAGGGCAGAGGGGGCCCUUGUGGAAGAAUGUGGUUCUUCCUUAGAAGGGCUGCAGUUACCAUAUGCUACUCUCUUGCAGGGCUUUCUUCCUCCAUACCCGCCCCCCCACCCCGCCCAACCACCGACAAUACCAUCGGCACUUUGACUCAGAAUGCAACAAAGCCCUCCUUUGCCAGACAAAUUAUUCAUAUAUGCUAAGAUGCCAGCGUUGGUAUAUCCUCCCUUCUCCUUCUGUCGCUUCUGUAGUCAGUGAUAAUCUGGAUUGUGCUACACAGAAGCCAUCUCUGUUGCCCAAGUGUCACCAACUGAAUCUACAGAAUAUUCCUUUGCUCGGUUUUGGGUGACAGGAGGGCUUCCAGAUAAAUUAUAGAAUGCCCAAGUUAUAUUUGAAUUUCAGAUACACGAUAAUUUUUUUUAGUAUAAAUAUGCUCCAAAUACCGCGUAGAACAUGCAAAGAUGUUCAUCAUUUCUCUGAAAUGCAAAUUUAACUGAGCAUCCUGUUUUGUUUUGUUUUGUUUUGUUUUGUUUCGUUUCAUUUCCAAAUCUGGCAACCCCACCCAUCAGGUGAGUCAAAGGCUUCAGAACCAAGCCAAUCAAGCUACUGAAAUCCUAGGAGAAGUCAAAUCAAGACAGCACAUCUACAUUGAGCUGAAGUAUUUGCAAAGUGCCGUGCUCACAGCUGUGGGAGAUGCAACACCGUGUCAGAUCUGGCGAGAAAAUAGAACAGGAGAGGAAUGGCCACAGGCCAGAGAGAGACUACGGUACGAGUGUAAAAAGUUUGGCUCAAGAACUAUGGAAAAGCAAAAUAGUAGGAAGGAUGUUUCUAGUGGUUCUCUUCAUCCAUAACCUUUUGUGAUGGCUUCUUGCAAAGUGCGGCUUCUGCUCCACAGCUCGGGAGGAGGCUGGCGAGACCGGAGAAGAACAUUCUCUGACACGCAAGGAGGCUUGUGGGCACAGCACCUGCCUUAGUCUUUUAUUGCUGAGGCCCAAGGAUGGCAACAGGACCUCUUGUGGUUUCCCGACGCCCUGCCUACACCUUUGAACAUAACCCCAUCGUCAACUCUUCUUGAAUUACCCAUCUCAGUGUUUCUUGCCUGCACCAUGACUGAUACAGCCGGGCUGUAAACACGUCACUGACUCUACCUUGCCCACAGGAGGAAGCAACAUCCCACAGGAGGGGGGCAAGAUUCCACCCUUGCCACAUCUUGAGACACGCUUUCCGCACGCUGGCGGACAUGUGGUUUCCUGAACGCAAGGUGUUCUUUUUCUUCUUGGAGAUUCUGUAACUGAUGAUUUCUUUCCUGGCUUAGCUGCCUGGACAGUGUCUUUUCUUCCUUCAAGACUGUUCAGGGAUCACCUGUUGAUUUUUUUCUGACUUUCCUAGGCAGGAUGGGCUGCUUCCUCUUCUAUGCUCCCUUAUCACAUUAUACGCAUGCCCAUUAAAGCUCUUUUCGUUGCUGCGAGUUUUUGUUCCUAUGUCUGCUUUCCAACCAGUCUUGGAAUCCUCUGAGUGUAUUCUGUUUUCCUUUGUUCUCCGAGUACCUGCUGUUGUCCCUGGUGGGCUUAAUAAACAUAUUUUGAAUGACUA